UAAUAUAUUAUGUAUAUUUUUAUCAAAACAAUCUCUGUAAUACAUUACACAUUUCGUAACAAAAUUACAAAACUCUCUCCAAGGUUGAACAAAAAUGAGUAAUGGCAUGAACGAACCGAGAAUGGAGCACAUGUGGUGAAUUGGCUUGGAUGCCACACUAUAGCAGCUGCCGGCUCCGGGCGGAAGCGGAAGACUGUCUCGACUUUAGCUGCUGCUCUUGUAUGAUGUAUGAUGAACAAUGCAAGAAGUUCGCAAGCAGCCAUGCAACCUAUGGGUAGGUGUGGGUCUGGGCGUGGUUCUCUGUGCAACAUGUGUGCAAGUUGGAAAUAUGCGCAAAAUAUUUCAAACUGCCACACACAUUGUGUAAAUACUCCAGCUGCAAGUAGCAAAUUAUUUAGUUAGUUACCGCGCAGUAAAGAUGAAAUUUAAAAUUGCACUAAA